rnacentral:rRNA from 1 species
UUACAGGGUUUGACAUACAAGUAGUAGGGAAAGGAAACUGGACCGACCCUUCGGGGAGCUUGUACAGGUGCUGCAUGGCUGUCGUCAGCUCGUGUCGUGAGAUGUUCGGUUAAGUCCGCUAACGAGCGCAACCCUCGCUGUGUGUUACAAGUGUCACACGGAACUGCCGGUCAUAAACCGGAGGAAGGUGGGAUGACGUCAAGUCAGCAUGGCCUUUAUAUCCUGGGCUACACACACGCUACAAUGGGAAGGGACAAUAGGUUGCGAAGCCGCGAGGCGGAGCCAAUCCAGCAAAACUUCCCUCAGUUCAGAUUGCAGGCUGCAACCCGCCUGCAUGAAGUUGGAGUUGCUAGUAAACGCAGGUCAGCCAUACUGCGUUGAAUACGUUCCCGGGGCUU